GCCCUGGUAGCUCAAUUGGUUAGAGCGUCGGACUUUUACUAGUACCAAACAGACGGUUAUCAAAACUGACCUUACUGGAUGGGAGGGAAAAUAUGCCAUCCGAAGGCUGCGGGUUCGACCCCCGCCUGGGGCG